rnacentral:rRNA from 1 species
UGGAUUAGGCAUGCAAGUCGAGCGAGGAAAGUUGUAGCAAUACGGCUUAUUCGAGCGGCGUAAGGGGCAGUAAUACCUGGGAACGUACCCUUUGGUCGGGGAUAGCUGCUGGAAACGGCGAGUAAUACCCGAUGAACUCGAGAGAGCAAAGGCUUGCCGCCGGAGGAGCGGCCCAGGCGAUAUUAGCUAGUUGGUGGGGUAAUGGCCUACCAAGGCUUAGAUGUCUAGCGGGUGUGAGAGCACGACCCGCGCCACUGGCACUGAGACACUGGCCAGACACCUACGGGUGGCUGCAGUCGAGAAUCUUCGGCAAUGGGCGAAAGCCUGACCGAGCGACGCCGCGUGCGGGAUGAAGGCCUUCGGGUUGUAAACCGCUUUCGUAGGGGACGAAAUUCCAGUGGGUUCUCCCAUUGGAUUGACUGAUCCUAGGAGGAAGGGUGGGCUAAGUUCGUGCCAGCAGCCGCGGUA